AGCUUUGCGCAGUGGCAGUAUCGUAGCCAAUGAGGUUUAUCCGAGGCGCGAUUAUUGCUAAUUGCUAAUAAUGUUGGGCAUCUUUUCAUGCUCUUAUUCGCCAUCUGUUUAUCUUCUUUGGAGAA
rnacentral:snRNA from 1 species